rnacentral:tRNA from 1 species
GCACACAAGAUAGCUCAGUUGGUUAGAGUGUGGCGCAGAUAAUGCCAAGGUUGCAAGUUUGAUCCCUGUAAGGGGAAGCU